GAUGACAGCGCGAGUGUAUUGCUCGUUGAUUGCUGUUUUACUGUGUCUGUUCGGAUACUUGAGCAUAACUCACGCUAUUCAAAGAUGAACCACAGUGGACGGUUUCUGUCCGGCGAGGCUGACGGUCGUGCCGUCCCAUCGAGGAUGUUCUUCUGAUAAAGACUGCCCUGGAGGACACAAAUGCUGUCGAUUUGACUGUGGGCCUGUUUGCGUGCUGCCUGUUUUCAUGAAGCCGGGUCAAUGUCCCAUACCGGAGAUGAUUCCACUGUGUGCUAAAAGCUGUUUCCAUGAUGGCCAGUGUCCUGCCACAC